AGGUGACAGAAACUUACCUUGACUCUCACAUGAGACUUUGGAUUGCAGACUUUUGGGUUGAUGCUGAAACACGAUGCACUCCUAAGAAUAGACUGCCUGAAAGCCCUAUGGACUGGUCUGGCAUUUGAGGUCAUGGUUCCUGUAUGCCUUCUGUUCCAUGAAAGUAAAUAAUACUGACAUUGGAGAAAAGGAAAGUUCCUAUAGAAAACCUAUUACAACACAGUAUAAGGUCAGCUGUGGUAUUGCUGGGCAUUGUUCAGCACAGAUGGGGUCACCUGGGCUGGGAUCCAGGCUGCAAGUGGUAUUCAGGCAUGAAAAUUGAGAGCCUCUGAUGCCAAGGAGGUCAAAUGUUUUCCCUGUAUGUUCAGCUCCCCAUACCUUUUCCAUUUGGAAUCACGUCAAUCAGUUUUACAGCUGAAAGCAGUGACAUGCUGACAGAAGGGGAACACUACACUAUCCAGUUUCUGAUUUUUUGCUAUUUAUUGCACUGAAAUUUUGGAUAAAUUAUUUUCCUUUAAAACUGGGAAUGAAAGGCUCGAAAAGAUUAAUCUCAGUUAAUAUAUUGUGGGGACCCAGGAUACUGGAGGUAAGUAGUACUUAGCUUGAAAAAGAAUCAGUUUUCUUGUGUGUGUGCAUGUGUGUUUUGUGUGUGUGUGUGUUCUUUAUACUUGUGAAGCUGUUCUUAGAACUUUCUUGCCUUGACUUUAUGAGCCAACAUGUAAUGAUUUCUCCUUUUCUCUUUCACUCAUGAAAGGUACAUUUUUUGCUUAUAAAUUUUUCUUCUGUUCAUGAACUAUUCAGUUCCCACCUUUAUUUCUAGAUUAUAUUCCCUCCAAUGUACAGUUCAUGACUAUAAAGAUGCUUAAGCCUUCAUGCCCAUCUCUGAAUUAUCCUUUAUGAUAUAGGGUCAAAUCUCUAAAUAUCCACUAUAUAUCACUUAAGUACCUUAUUGUUACCUGAAACUUAACAUUGUCAAAAUAAAAUUCGUUAAUUUCUCUCCACAUUAAUUUUCUUGAUGUUUUCCUGUCAUCACACUUUUAUCCAUAGAUGCAAAAUAUCCAUAUCUUCUAGGCUCAUAUAUCUUCUAGGAUUUCCUUGUCACAUUCAAUAAAGUAUUGAUUUUUAUUUUUGUUAUUUAUGAUGUCUUUGAGAUGUCUAUCUUUCUCCUAGAACUGUUGAAUUAUAUCAUAAACUAGGCAUAUUAGUAUAGAAAACCUAUGUGUGAAUGAUGUGAAAGCCAGUCUAUGAGAUAGUCCCAGUGAUCCCACUUCCUGUGUCAUUUAUUCCCACAUUGUAUUAUGCUAAGUCUGUGUGAUAAAAAGAAUUCAGCAGAAUAAAUAUGUUGUUUCCAAGGUUCAGUUAUAAAAUAUGCUGAAGUUUCCAUUUUGGCCAUGCCUUCUCUCUUACCCUCUUCCCUUGAUCCAUUUCUCCCAGGUCAUAACGAGCCCUAAACAGAAGUCCCUGUGCAAAGAAUUGAGACCACUGUCAUACACUAAAGAGAAACCGAGGCCCGCUUUUUUUAGGCCAAAAACAGACUCCUAAAUUUUUUUUUUUUUAGGUUUUAGGGUAAAUUGUUAUAUGCCAGAAGAUAACUAAUACAAUGACAUUAUAAUCUAAAUAGCAUGUUUAUGUGAUUAAACUGUCUUGAAAAAUAAAAUGAAUGGAGAAGAGUCCAGAAGAAACCUGCUGGAGUUGUGUGGUCUGGGAAAAGAAGUCUGUCCCCUUGAGUUCAGAAAGGGCUCAGUGGCCCUGGGAGCAGGGGCAAGCGCUACCCAUGAGGAUCUCUUGGAAAUCAUAAAGGAUUUGAGUCAUAGAGAUGUUAGACAUUAUCUAAGUUAAACCUUUUACCCAUAGCAACCAUCUCCUUUGCAGUCUUUCUACAAACUGAAAAGAUCUGAAAAAUAAGAAAUUCUCUUCGGACAUUUGACAGUUAUGUGGUAGCUGUAGUGAGGACCUAAGUAGCAGCUCAGGCUGCCCCUUUGCCUUUUAAUCUCCUAAUUAUAAAACAUUAAUAGACAAGUCUUUACCUAUCCAGAUGGCAAACUUGGCAAUACUGCUGGUACUAUGUGCGGAAGAGUUGGUAUACAGGAUGUUUUUUACUCUAAAACAAAGUAUUCUUGCAGUGUUUCAUGUGCAAGAAUAUAUUCAUCAAACUCCAAGAGUUUUGGCCAGACUUCAGAUAACAGGUAAGCCUCCAUCAAAGAAAUCAUGGGUUCUUCGGAAACAGAAUUAGCUGCUAAACUAAAAGCAUAUGCUCAGGAUCAUGCUGCCUUGCAGAAACAGAAGACUAAAGCAGCAGUAGUCUCCAUGGGAGUUUCAGCUGAGAUAACAACAUCAUUAGCAGUAGCUUUAUGAAGCUUAUUCCUGGCUUUAAACAUAUACUCAUAGGACCUGCUGGGGAGAUAGCUCAGAAAUUACGAGAGUGUACGUUCCCAGACAGACUAGUCAAUCUACCACAGUCUUAUGGACUUCUGGAAUUAUGAAAUUUGCAAAUUUUAAUGCCGUUAGUGAGAUAUGAAUUAUUGGAAGUAAACUGAAAUCAGGUCUUCUGAUGCAAUAUAUAUGUUCCUUUCACCACACUGGAUGAUGUGCUGACAGUGGGGAGCAUCUUGUUCACCCUAGAACUAUUCAACAUAAGUAGACAAAUUGGAAAGAUUUUCUGGUGAAAUGACUUAAUGGUAACAAAUGUGUCUGCUUAACAUUUCACAAAAUUUUCUAAAAAUGUGCAGGACUUUCAAUCUUUGAAUGAGAACAGAAGUGGUGGACAAAACGUACUAUGUUAAACAUAAGUAGAAAUGAUGGAAAGUAUAAUUGGAGGAAGAUUUCUAAUCAUGAAAAUAAUGAAAAAAUGAUAAUAGUGGAACCACAUGAACACCCAUUAAUUCAUCAUUUUGGUUGAUCUUGAGGUACAGGUAAGUCAUUGAAUCAACAGAACUGAUAUUAUGAAGAAAUAAGAUGGACAUUUUUGAUACAUUUAUUUGCUGAGAUAUAAGUUGAAUAGAGUAGGAAUCAUUUAAAGAAGGAAUGAUGAUAUUGGAAAAUACAGUCUCAUUAAAUCUUUCUACAAUAUGCAUUGCACUAUUAGAAAGGUACUGGCUGAUUGGUCUCUUAUGAUUGAGAUUGAUAGUCUGAUUGGUUUUGUUAUUUUGCACCUUAACCUUAUAUUUUCUCUCUUGGCUUUUGUGAUAUCAACAUAGUUGAACUUACUUCACUUAGAAGUAAGUUCAUUCUGAAUGUUAUGAAUACUUCAGAAAAACUGGAUCACAGAAAACUUUUAAAAAGGAAGUUCUGUAUCACAUAUAUAACAUAGAAAUGACAUGAAAAGUGGUAGAUUUUAUGAAGCUAGAUUAGUAUUUAAGGACACAGUAACUUGAAUUAUUCAUUUUCUCUCAAUGAUACAUUCUGAUGAAUGGAAAAAUGAUUAUGAUCAGUGAGUUAUUCAGGGUAAAGCCCUGAACUCUAUUCCAUAAGGUGGAAUCAAUUAAUUGGAUAUCAUCUACAGCCUUGGGAAAUGUACAAACAGAUUCAUCAAAACAGAAAAAUAAUCUCAACAUCAGCAAAGAAAAUGAUAUGAGAAAAAAGUUACAUGGUAUCUGAUGAUUGACUAUAUGGUGAAGGUUAUAAUCCAGACAUAUCUGAUCAGGAAAACAAUGGCUCUGUUAACGUCUACAUUUAGUAAGACCUAUCAGGUGGCUCAGAAGCCUUGGGAGGGGAAUUUUGCACAGAAAAAAUUUAUUACCAACCCCACUGUACCAUGCUGCUUGCCUUCUGAGGCACCGUGCUAAACCUUGAGGACAUACCAGUUCUAGAUUGUCAGGUGGGUGGGGAAACUAUUUUAGUCAACAGUGGAAGGGCCAGUAUACAAAGAAAGAACAUUGUGUUCUAUAUCUAAAGCUUCUGGAAGAAUUUUUGUAGUGUAGUGUUCUGUGACUUAGGAUUUAUGUGUAUUGUUAAUAGGAACUGAAAAUUUUACUCUUUGGUGAAAUUUUAUUAUCAGCAGCUGGAUUAAAGGAAAUGACAGGAAAAGGUUAGAGUUGUAACUAUAUAGGAACUGCAGAUACAAAUGAGGCUUUGGGGUACAGUUUAUGUAUUUGGGGAUUUCAGAAGUUAUCCAGGUCAGAUCUCAAGGGUUAUUUUCUGUAAAAGUAUGCAACAGAAUCAUCAUAGUUUAUCACCUGAUUAUGAAAGGAAUAAUUAAUUUUGAUUGUUAGCAUUUUAUCGUAG